rnacentral:rRNA from 1 species
GGGUGAGUAACACGUGAGCAACCUGCCGGGAAGCCCGGGAUAGCCCUCCGAAAGGAGGAUUAAUACCGGAUGUGGCCACCCUGCGAUUGCAGGGGAAGCUAAAGGAUUUAUUCACUUCCCGAGGGGCUCGCGGUCCAUCAGCUUGUUGGUGAGGGUAACGGCCCACCAAGGCGACAACGGGUAGCUGGUCUGAGAGGAUGGUCAGCCACACUGGAACUGAGACACGGUCCAGACACCUACGGGUGGCAGCAGUCGAGAAUCAUUCGCAAUGGGGGAAACCCUGACGAUGCGACGCCGCGUGGAGGAUGAAGGCCUUAGGGUUGUAAACUCCUGUCAAGAGGGAAUAAGCAAGUGAAGGUACCUCUAGAGGAAGGGGCGGCUAAUUCCGUGCCAGCAGCCGCGGUAACACGGAAGCCCCGAGCGUUGUUCGGAUUCAUUGGGCGUAAAGGGUGCGUAGGCGGCGCGGAAAGUCCGGCGUGAAAGGCAGAGGCUCAACCUCUGGACUGCGUUGGAUACUUCCGUGCUUGAGGACUGGAGGGGAGACUGGAAUUCACGGUGUAGCAGUGAAAUGCGUAGAUAUCGUGAGGAAGACCGGUGGCGAAGGCGAGUCUCUGGACAGAUCCUGACGCUGAGGCACGAAGGCUGGGGGAGCGAACAGGAUUAGAUACCCUGGUAGUCCCAGCAGUAAACGAUGUGAGCUUGAUGUGGGGGGAUUCGACCCCUUCCGUGUCGAAGCUAACGCGAUAAGCUCACCGCCUGAGGAGUACGGCCGCAAGGCUAAAACUCAAAGAAAUUGACGGGGACCCGCACAAGCGGUGGAGUAUGUGGCUUAAUUCGAUGCAACGCGAAGAACCUUACCUGGCCUUGACAUGCAUUGUGUCGUCGGUGAAAGCCGGCUAGUCCUGGAAACAGGACGCUUUGCACAGGUGCUACAUGGCUGUCGUCAGCUCGUGUCGUGAGAUGUUGGGUUAAGUCUCGCAUNCAGCGCAACCCUUGUGGUCAGUUACUAACCGGCUUAGCCGGAGGAGUCUGGCCAGACUGCCCUGUCAAACGGGGAGGAAGGUGGGGACGCCGUCAAGUCAGUAUGG